CCCUUAGAUGUUCUGGGCUGCACGCGCGCUACACUGACACGUUCAACGAGUUUUGCCUGCUCCGAUGGGACUGGGUAAUCUUAUGAAAGCGUGUCGUGAUGGGGAUAGAUUAUUGCAAUUAUUAAUCUUCAACGAGGAAUUCCUAGUAAGUACAAGUCAUCAGCUUGUGCUGAUUACGUCCCUGCCCUUUGUACACACCGCCCGUCGCUCCUACCGAUUGGGUGAUCCGGUGAAUAACUCGGACUGCAGCUAUUCGGGAGACCGUUAGCUUGUGGAAAGUUUAGUAAAUCUUAUCACUUAGAGGAAGGAGAAGUCGUAACA
rnacentral:rRNA from 1 species